rnacentral:rRNA from 1 species
AACGAACGCUGGCGGCAGGCCUAACACAUGCAAGUCGAGCGAGACCUUCGGGUCUAGCGGCGGACGGGUGAGUAACGCGUGGGAACGUGCCCUUUUCUACGGAAUAGCCUCGGGAAACUGAGCGUAAUACCGUAUACGCCCUUUGGGGGAAAGAUUUAUCGGAGAAGGAUCGGCCCGCGUUGGAUUAGGUAGUUGGUGGGGUAAUGGCCUACCAAGCCUACGAUCCAUAGCUGGUUUGAGAGGAUGAUCAGCCACACUGGGACUGAGACACGGCCCAGACUCCUACGGGAGGCAGCAGUGGGGAAUCUUAGACAAUGGGGGCAACCCUGAUCUAGCCAUGCCGCGUGAGUGAUGAAGGCCUUAGGGUUGUAAAGCUCUUUCAGCUGGGAAGAUAAUGACGGUACCAGCAGAAGAAGCCCCGGCUAACUCCG